rnacentral:rRNA from 1 species
UACGGGGGGUGCGAGCGUUGUUCGGAAUUAUUGGGCGUAAAGCGCGUGCAGGCGGUUUUGUAAGUCUGAUGUGAAAGCCCCAGGCUCAACCUGGGAAGUGCAUUGGAUACUGCAAGACUUGAGUUCGGGAGAGGACAGUGGAAUUCCUGGAGUAGGGGUGAAAUCCGUAGAUAUCAGGAAGAACACCGGUGGCGAAGGCGGCUGUCUGGACCGAUACUGACGCUGAGAUGCGAAAGCGUGGGUAGCAAACAGG